UGAUGGAGCACGCCGCGUGAGUGAAGAAGGGUUUCGGCUCGUAAAACUCUGUUGUUAAAGAAGAACAUAUCUGAGAGUAACUGUUCAGGUAUUGACGGUAUUUAACCAGAAAGCCACGGCUAACUACGUGCCAGCAGCCGCGGUAAUACGUAGGUGGCAAGCGUUGUCCGGAUUUAUUGGGCGUAAAGCGAGCGCAGGCGGUUUUUUAAGUCUGAUGUGAAAGCCUUCGGCUCAACCGAAGAAGUGCAUCGGAAACUGGGGAACUUGAGUGCAGAAGAGGACAGUGGAACUCCAUGUGUAGCGGUGAAAUGCGUAGAUAUAUGGAAGAACACCAGUGGCGAAGGCGGCUGUCUGGUCUGUAACUGACGCUGAGGCUCGAAAGUAUGGGUAGCAAACAGGAUUAGAUACCCUGGUAGUCCAUACCGUGAACGAUGAAUGCUAAGUGUUGGAGGGUUUCCGCCCUUCAGUGCUGCAGCUAACGCAUUAAGCAUUCCGCCUGGGGAGUACGGCCGCAAGGCUGAAACUCAAAGGAAUUGACGGGGGCCCCACAAGCGGUGGAGCAUGUGGUUUAAUUC
rnacentral:rRNA from 2 species